rnacentral:misc_RNA from 1 species
GAUGAAGAACGUAGUGAAAUGCGAUAAGUAAUGUGAAUUGCAGAAUUCAGUGAAUCAUCGAAUCUUUGAACGCACAUUGCGCCCGUCAGUAUUCUGGCGGGCAUGCCUGUUCGAGCGUCAUUACGCCCCUCAAGUCCCCUGUGGACUUGGUGUUGGGGAUCGGCGAGGCUGGUUUUCCAGCACAGCCGUCCCUUAAAUUAAUUGGCGGUCUCGCCGUGGCCCUCCUCUGCGCAGUAGUAAAACACUCGCAACGGGAGCCCGGCGCGGUCCACUGCAGUAAAACCCCCCAACUUUUUAUAGUUGACCUCGAAUCAGGUAGGACUACCCGCUGAACUUAAGCAUAUCAAUAAGCGGAGGA